rnacentral:rRNA from 1 species
UACGGAGGGUGCAAGCGUUAUCCGGAUUCACUGGGUUUAAAGGGUGCGUAGGCGGGUAUAUAAGUCAGUGGUGAAAGCUCCGAGCUUAACUUGGAAACUGCCAUUGAUACUGUAUAUCUUGAAUGUCGUUGAGGUUAGCGGAAUGUUGCUUGUAGCGGUGAAAUGCUUAGAUAUGUUACAGAACACCAAUUGUGAAGACAGCUAACUAAGCGAUGAUUGACGCUGAGGCACGAAAGCGUGGGGAGCAAACAGG